rnacentral:rRNA from 1 species
AUGGCAUCCGCCGUCGCCAGCAGCAUGCCCGCCGCGGCCCCCGCCGCCGUCUCCUACGGCUGGCUCGGCCCGCGCCUCUCCUUCAGCCGCGACGCGCCUGCUGCCGUGGCGCCGGAUCGCGGCCAGGCGCUGUCGCUGGAGAGCAGCGGCUGCAAGGCGGACCAGCCCACCGCGGCGGCGGCGUCCAAGGAGUUCAUCGACUUCGAGUUCAGCUUCGGCGGGUCGGCCACCAUGCUCCCCGCCGACGAGCUGUUCGCAGACGGGAAGCUGCUGCCCCUCCGGCCGCAGCCCGCGUCCGCGGCGGCGCCGGAGGCCGAGCGGGAGCGGGAGUGCGCGCCGGCGGAGAUCCCGGCGGCGCCUGAGAUGGUGAAAACCCACCGGCCCUCGGUGGCCGAGGUCUUCGACCCCUACGUGUUCUCCCCCAAGGCGCCGACGUGCUCCAGCCGCUGGCGGGAGCUGCUGCGGCUCAGGAAGGUCCAGACCCCGCAGAAGCCGUCCGCGUCGCCGUCGCCUCCGCAAUCUCCUUCGCCGGUGCCGGCGACUCCCUCCAGAGCGUCCAACUCGUCGGCGGCCAGGUCCCUUAAGCUGCUGCUCCUCCAGCGGAACGGCGGCCGCGCGUCAAGUGCCGUCGCGUCGGACCUCUCCGUGGCGCCGCUCCUCCGCGACAGCUCGGACUCGGAGGCGUCCCUCUCCCUCGCCUCCUCCCGCUUCUCCAUGUCGUCGUCCUCCUCCUCGUCCGCCUACGACCACGACGACUUCCCCCGCCACUCCCUCGACUCGGUCGACCUCACCCCGAAGCCACGAAUCCGGCUCGUGCGCUCCCAACCCCAGCGCCAUUGCCACCCGCCCGCCUCCGCCCCACCGCAGCGCCAUUGCCCCCCGCCUGCGUCCGCCCCGCCGCAUGCCGCGCACAGCCCCGCCCGUCGCCGGCCCGCCACCCCGCCGCCGCCGUCCGUGGCCUCGGUGGACUCCCCGCGCAUGAACUCUUCCGGCAAGAUCGUGUUCCAGGGGCUCGAGCGCAGCUCCAGCUCCCCGGCCGGCAGCGUCCACUCCAGCCUCCGGUCACGCUCGCGCGUGAUGGACCGGUCAUACUCCACGCCGGUGGUGCUCAACGUGCCCGUCUGCUCGCGGCCGUCGUUCGGGUUCUUCAAGGACAAGAAAGAGACGGCGGCGAAGGACGCAGCCGCGCGGCUGCGGUCGUCGCUCGGCCGGAAGACGGCCCAUCCCGCCGGCGCCACCGGCGGAAGCAGCGUGAGUGGCAGAGGUCUUGGCACCGGCAAAUGA